AAUACAUUGUCAUAAGAUGAUUAGAGUUUAAGUUCAGUGUAAUUAGCGUAAAAGCGUAAAGUAUUUUCAGUGCAUUAAACUCAAAGUUCACAUUUUCUUGCAAAAUUCUUUUCGCGAGAAAAAUUCAAGCAGUGUAAAACUCAUUAGGUGUCCAUGGCAGUAACACUACAUGAAAUUAUAUGAGAAUGAUCGAGAAAUAUUGUUCCAUAUUUA